rnacentral:rRNA from 1 species
GUAGUUCGACGUCCGUGCUCGAGAGACGCUGGCGGCGUGCUUAACACAUGCAAGUCGAACGAUGACGGUGGUGCUUGCACCGCCUGAUUAGUGGCGAACGGGUGAGUAACACGUGAGUAACCUGCCCUCCACUUCGGGAUAACCUCGGGAAAUCGUGGCUAAUACCGGAUAUGAGCACUCAUCGCAUGGUGGGUGUUGGAAAGAUUUAUCGGUGGGGGAUGGACUCGCGGCCUAUCAGUUUGUUGGUGAGGUGAUGGCUCACCAAGACGAUGACGGGUAGCCGGCCUGAGAGGGCGACCGGCCACACUGGGACUGAGACACGGCCCAGACUCCUACGGGAGGCAGCAGUGGGGAAUAUUGCACAAUGGGCGAAAGCCUGAUGCAGCGACGCCGCGUGGGGAUGACGGCCUUCGGGUUGUAAACCCCUUUCAGUAGGGAAGAAGCGAGAGUGACGGUACCUGCAGAAGAAGCGCCGGCUAACUACGUG